AUGCCUUUCACUCGAACGUGUUCAUAGACUGCAGAGUCCAAGACAGUGCCAUAAGGAAUAUCCGUCUGCCUUGAGAGAUCCUGGAGAGACCUUAAUUGUUGGUGAAGAAAAGAGACAUAGGAGACUUAAAGCUGCAUUUUCAAGAGGAAGAUGCUGCAGAAGAAGAGGAAUGACUGUGGCUGAAGUUUGAAAAUUGAGGUGUCUACUAAUAUUUACUGCAGUUACUGGAAGCUUUAGAUGAAGCACUACUUACACUACAUCUAUUCAGUUGAUGAAAUACCAUGCAAGGCUUGAUAUUUGAACGUAAAUCUUUUGAUUGCUAGUAAUUGCCAGAUCACGGCCUGAACCAACAGCUGAGUACCAGGUGAGGAUGCAUGGCUAACCCAGGGAUGCAAGCAGUGCACCUGUGUGACUGGAAGGGUUGGACUCUCAAUCCAUCCCUCCUCAUCCUCAUUUAAGGGUUAGCAGCUGAAAGAGCAGCAUCUCUCUGGAUAGAGAUCAUACUCCUCUUGAGCCAUCAGUGGUCAUUGGAAGGGUGCUGUAUAAACCUGUUCUUGCAAGACAUCUAAGCAUCCAUCAUGGUAGAGUGGUGUCUGACUCCUUCAGAGGCAAGAUGAUUUUCGUGGCACAUCCCCCCUAACUGGUGUUAUGAAGAAGAGCCUUGUGGGCGGAUAAAGCUGUGACACAGCUGUUGCAGAGGAGGGACUCCCCACUGACCAGAAAAACAAGGGAAAACUACCACGGGUUCCCCUCUAAGCUCAUGUUCAUCUGGUGCCUCAGAUAAUCCCCACCGAAAAAGUCUCAUCAGUCUGUAGAUGAAAUUGCUCUCAUCCUGGCAGAAGGGAGCAUUUUUAAUAAAGCCAUAACUCAUAUCCUACUUCCUCCCUACCUUGAACACCCUACGCUGCCAGCUUAAGUGCAAGCUUCUGGGCAGGAAAAUCAAUUAUCAGGACAAGUAAGGCUUCCUUCUUCAGCUUCUAAACAACUCUGCAAUGACAGCAUGGGUCACGUUCCUUUUGAAUGCAAGAAUCACUCAGUUCCUGGCUAAACUGUUCUUCAUUUCUUCCAUUAAAUACAUAAUACACACAGAUGAACUCCAAAAAUUCAAAACUGAUUACUUAAUCUGGAUGUAACUUAUCCAUUCUUUACUAAUGUAGAAAAUGUUAUCACAUUAGAAAUAAUAUCAAUUAAAGAAAUUAUUCUGAGUAAAUGUGAUUCUAAAAGGAUGGAAGAAGAUGAAGACAUCCAAUUCUAGUUUUCCUUUUGAUUCAUUUGAUUUGCUCAACAUUUAUACCCUAGACAGACAGAUAUUCGUUUCUCACAAUUAAUCGGUCUUGGAACAAGUCGUAUGGGAAGAAGGGUGAUUUUGGGCUUUCACAGUGCCGUUCACUCUCUCAGAAAGUGUGUUGGACACAUCUCUAAAUAUACUGCUUCACGUACUCAGUGCUAUUACUUAAGAAAGCAGGUGCACACAAGUUACAGAAAUCCAUUAUUUUAGAUGCCUCUGAGGUCUGCCCGAGUCUUAACUUCAAUUUAGGGAAAAAUCCAAGCAUAUCUCUUGGCAGUUUAAUGCUAGUGUUAUCACACUGCUGCAAACAAAUGUCCAUACUACUGAAAGUUUUACUUGAUGUGUGGUUAUUCCUCGGAAUUAUAUUUUCAAAAAGAGACAGUCAAACAUGCCUCUGAAAGUGGCACGAACAUAAGGCCACAGAUGAUGUUUGCAAAUGCGUACUGUGUAUAUGGGAAUAAUUUUUGGUAUAUUUUGUCACUUCCACUGAUUUCUUGUAGUUUCCAAACACAUUUGACACAUAUAACAAAACUGCCAAAAUGUAGUUGUUUUUUGGUACUGUCAACGGGGCUGGCCAAACAAUUAAGUCAUGGAAAGGGAGUACAAGUACUACAAGGCUGUAGUACCUGUUUUAAAGAGAUAGCUUCAUGAAAGUACAUAUACACACUAAUACAUAUGCCUAGAUUUAGUAUAAUAAAAUGUGAAUUUGGAAGUUUCACAUUUUAAGGUAGAACAAGUAUACUUGCUGGUGUAUGUGCUAGAAAAAAAAAAAUUGGCUUUUCCCUAAGAAGUUUGCUAUCUGCCUUUCACUUUCCCAGCUUAGUACUCAAUUAGUAAGUGCAUUUUAGGCUCAGUCAAUCUAUUCUCCUUGUUACUGGAAUAUGUCAAGUCCUGGCAUAAGUUUGAAGAGCAAUUAUAACUAAUAUUAAUUAAAGAGACUGGCAUUUAAGUUCUGCUUUCUAUCAGAAGACAUAAAGCAUGUUUUUACAGAGGAAGGUAGGUAACAUCUCUAUUUCGUAACUGAGAAGGGAGGCACAAGACAUUAAAUGAAGUUUCUGUGGUUAGCUAGAAGCUCGGAAGCAGACUAAAAUGGGCACUAAGUGUUAGACCUAAAGCUUAUAUUCUGGAUUUUUCUAGAAAAUAAAGAUUUUUCGCCACUAAAUAUCACAUAUGAAGACAUAAUAGAAAGAGUGCACAUUUUCUUUCAAAGGGUUUUUAGAGGUUUCCUCUGCAUAUUAAAUACAAAGAGGCUGGUGUAUAGUUAAUUAAGAGGAAAUGUCACCAGGAAUGUAUGUUAUUGGAUCAUGGCUUCCUGCUGAUAGGGAUGUACCAAGAGUAAGAUAAGUGAGAUAGAGGAAUUUAUUAAGCAACAGCAGCGCAUUUCAGGAGGCGUAUAUCAUGCCUUGGGUGGUAAUACAAGGAACAAGACUGAGAAGUCUGAGCAGCUUUAACCAUCCACGAAGUGUAAUAAUGACUUAGAGGAGCCAAGGCUUUAAGUCUAUCUUACAGCUUUUAUGAAAUGUAAUUUAAACAAGGCAAACAGCAAGAUUUGCUCAUUUACCGAGCAUUAUGAACGUAAUUGACCAUUACUGACACUGCUGAUGACCAAUCAAAAUCCCCAGUUGUGAUCAGCAUUUUAAACUAAUCAAAACAUAAGGGGAUAAAGAUGGCCCUUCAGAGAUGCUUUCACACCAUUUAUUCAAAACCUUGCUAGCUUAAGGGAGAAUAUUAAGAUCUCUGAACAGAAGAAUACUUUUGGGAGUAAUACUUUAAGCACCCGUGGUCAAACCCUUGUUACAAAACAAUAGUGAAUACUGGAUUUGCUGGAAUCAUUGCAAAAUCUCAAAUGAUUCAGCAUUUUAAAUAUGUUUCUUGUUAUAGCAAAAAAUAAAAACAAAAACAAAAAACAAAACCCAAACUAUUCACAAAAAACAAGACCUCUAUCUACCUAUUCUCCUUCAUAAGGAUGUUUACAAGUAAAACACAGCUCUGCAUCUUGAGCUGAAUAAUCUAAAAUCCUUCCAGUUAAAUUCAGAAAUACCUCCUCUUGAAGAAAAAAUCAAAGUGAAAUGAACAAUGCAGGAUAAGAGGUAGAAGAGUAAGAGGGCUUUCUGUUGUGUGUUAAGGUCCUGACUGAUACCCAAAAGGAAAGCUGCAGCAAUGAUGGGCUCCAGCUACUGCAUGAGGCUGGCAGAGCGCAACCCUCUUUACACCUGUGGCAGGUCUGGAACCAGGCUGCCUGUUUGCAAAUCUUCCACCUAGCUAGAGGAAAGAAAGAACAGACAACACCAGAAUGUGCUGGCUUGCCCCAGACAAAGAAUCCGGCGCUAUCAAAGCACUAGCAAUCCUCAGUUGAUGUUGCCUUACUGCUCUCAGCAUAAGAUAUAAAAGCAUCUUUGGCUGUAUGUUUUGAUGGCAGAAAUGAGUACCUUGUCAUGUUUUAAAUCCACAGCUGAAAGACUUCUUAAAUGAACGUGACAGCAUUUGCGAUGCCCCAUGCUGUUGCACUUAAAGUAUGCCAGUCACAAUUAAUAGCAACAGAUUGGCUAUUCCAAAACAAAUAAAACCUGCAGAUUUUUCUGCUGAAUGAAGAGUUGAUGAGUGAAAACAGAAGCAAAAUUACUACAAUAGCCAGUCAGCCUGUCAGUGGAAAUUACUUUCAUUUGUCUGUAUUCACAAGGGUUAGUAAACAAUAAUGCUUCAGCUAAUAUAGUUUUGUGUUAUAUUCAAAUUGAAUGUGAAACACAGGCUGACAUUAUAAAUGGAUCUAUUACUCUUUCACAGUGGAUUUCUGAGGUCUUCCGAGUCUUUAUAUUUAAAUUGAUCUGUAAGGUUGUUGUAUUUUAGCAUCAACGCUACUAAAUUUGUGUCAUUUUUCCCUCUAGCAAAUUAAAGACUGUCCUCCUGCGUUUCCUUUGAAGGAGAGGUGUAUUGUAUUAGCAACCCCUCACUAUGCAGAAAUAAAGCGCACAUUUUAAAUUGUUCUAUUGGACUGUAAGGAGUUGUGCUGGAAAUCUACUCAGUAGAGGGGGUUACUGAGAACUGCAGCAGAGACUCCUGUCAGCAGUACUAGCUGUAAUGGGAUCACGGAGGUGGCGAGUGCCAGGGAGUUGCUGGGGGCUCCUCUUAGGUAGAGGGCUGCUGGGCUCCCACUGUGCUCUUUCUGGUGCUUUCCCUGAGUACUGGAGCUGCUGGGUAUCCACACAACUUUUUUGAGGUAAAGGGCUACUGCUCAACUCUGGGAGGUCAAGCACAGCCCUGGUGUGACCUCAUUCCCAAAGGGGGCUUUGUGUGUGUGCUGUGGUGGUGAGUGUGAGCAGGAAGGGGCUGUGUCCCCUCAGUCCUAUUGUUGCUGGAGGAGGAAAGCAGCAAUAGGGCCAAGAUAAAAGCACUAUUUGAGAUUGGUUUAAUUUUUUUCUUUUUUUGUCUUUUCUUGCUGGGUGUUGGAGAGCUGCUGAGGAGCCUUGUACAGCAAAGAUCUUCCUAAACUAUGGAAGAGUUCUGGCAGCAAUGGGACUGCUGGAGGAGGAGGUUGAGGACUGUGGUGGGGCCUCUUUCAGCAAGGAUGAACAGAAAUGUGCAAGCAGUUCUGGCAGCAGUGGGACUGUGGGUCCAGGAAUGAUGAGGGCUGUAGCAAGGAUCUACCUAAACAUGUGGCCAGUUGGCAGAAAUGGGAUUACAGAGUGCUGGAUGCUGGGGCUGCCUGCACCUUUGUAUGUUGGUGCAGGGGCUCCCACCCUGGUGGCCCCAUAGACGUGGUUAGCAGAGCUUUCCUUCCUGGUGGUCCAGUCUGGAGUGAGGAUCCUGGUGCUGGUGGUAGCUCUGCAGACUGAAGUUUAGGUGCAGUUUGUGUUCUAGAGGAAGGCAACCAGUCCUGUCUUUAUCCAUCUGUUUGGGAGAUUUAGUGCUGGAUCUUGACUGUGAAGGAUGCAGGUUUCAUCACAAGUCCAGAUGAAGCUGUGUGAUCUCUCGGAGCAGCUGCUUAUGAGUGCUCCAGCUUCCUUCUACAGGUGGAUAUGGGUAACAAAAAGGAAGAGAAAUCACAAGGCACGGGGAAGUGUUGCUGCCUAGAAAGUUAAGCAUUUUUUUUUAAUACAACUAGCAAUGUCAUAAUCUAAAACUGGAGAUCAUUUUGAAAUAUUUGCAUUAUAGCACAUAAGGUACAUAUCAAACAUAUUACUGAGUUACGGCACCUAGAGAUUAAAAAAAAACCUCUACAGGAGCUACAUUACGUACUACUUUUCUGCCAUUCAAACUCACAGGCAUAAAUGUCCAAAGAAGGAUUUAUCCCUUGCAAACAGAAAAGUAAAAUAUCUUUGCUUAAAACGUAAAUACUACUGCUGAUGAAGAUGGUCAAGUAAUAUUUCUUAACAUUCACUACAAUGUACAGUCCUCCAAUACACUGAUAAAGUUGAUACACAUAUAAUUUAGUAGAAUGCAUGCCUUAGUUCGCUUAAGAAAAAAAAUUAAUGCAGCCUAACAGAAUGAAGAAGAUUCAUAGAAGCGCACAGCAUUCAUCUAUGAGAGGGACACACAAAAAAUGCGUACAUAAACUGAUAACAAAAAAAGAGAGAAAAAUGGUAUAAAUGGCAUUAUCUGUGAGAUUAUUCUGACUAUACUCUACUGUAAAAUAAAUAUGUAUUUUCUGAGGUAACUCACACAUAAUCUUUGCUGCAGUUGAUCUUCAGUCAUUCAGUGAUGCAUUUGCCCCACCAUUUUUUAAUCCUUCAUUGCUUCUUACUUUUAGUUCCUCUGAUUAUGCAUACACUGUCUUAUUUCAUCUCUUUCAUGCCUUUCUUUUUUUCUUACUAUUCUGAAAGCUACUCUGACUUCCUUUAAAGAACUUUUGUCACUUUGUUAAAAGCGGAGUUGGAGGUCAAUAUCCAAAGACAGCCUCAGCUUUUAGAACUAGGACUUAGCCUUAUAUCUCACUUCUCUCUGUCCAAGCGGGAAGUUCAGUAGACAAAAGGGUCUAAAGAUGCAAGUCUCCUGCCAGCUCACGUCCAUGAAGAUACUGUUCACUUCCCAGUUGGUUUCUUACUUAAUCUCUUUAACAAACAGUCACGCACUUAAUGCAAAUGUUUGAAAAUUAACCUAUUCCACCUAUGAGAACAUUUUCCCAAGUGUUGCUGAUGCAUUUUUAUUAUUUAAUUUUCCUAUGCUUGUCUACACUUUUACCAGCCCUCUCGUUUCCCACAGUGCCCGCCUGGAGCCAAGGGUCACCAACCUGCCUCUAGCCCAUCUAGCUCUCUGUGAGCAAUGCAAGUAGUAGCAAGCAAGAGACCGUACAUGCAGAGAUAUGACAAAGCGUCGCUUGCCAUUAUUCUUUCCCUUCUCCUGUCUGCGUUUCAGGUUAAUCUGGAUAUGAAGAUGCAUACCACUGUUUGGUGCCAUACUUUCCAUUUAAAAAAAAAGUCUCAAAUAUAAUAUUUCACACCUCUAGAAAGCUACGCCUCAUGCGCUCUCAGGAAAGGCACUAUACCUCUCUACUUUUCAGAAAAAUGUUAAUUCUUUAAAACUUGUGCCCUUUCAGACAACUGGAGCUUGUUUUGGAAAUGUAAUUUUGUGAAUACCUGCUGGCCCAUUCAUUGUCAGGCAGGCCAAAUCUCAUUUAUUGCCAAUGGCUUAACAUUCAUAUGAAUAUUUCAUUAACUGCUACAGUGACUAAAAUGAUGUUCUGAGAUUUCUGUUGUAUUCUAGCUGCCUUUCGAUAAAACUGAAAAUGAGGAGGAUAAACUGAAAUCUCCAAAAUGGAUAUUCAGCUAAAUUUGUACUUGGAUAAUUGUUCAUUCAAGACACUUUCUAACUGGGAGGAGUUAUAAUUCUGACCUUUCAACUGAACUCCAUUUCUGAAUCUCAGAAUACUUUUCCAAAAUUCAACAGCAAGUCGCUUGAAGUAGCUUAGAAGUAGCUUGUCAAACAAAGUUCAAACUUGGGUUGCACAUGGGGAGCCAGUCCAAGACAAAGGAAAAUGAUAAUCAGACAAAAUAAACCUAUUCUACAAGUGUAGAAAGGUGCUACCCUAAGUCAAACGUAACAAAACAUAGAACUGCAUAUACGCAGGCAGUGUUACAGUUCUCCUCAGAAUAAAGCACAUAGAACUGUUCCUUAUUCCUGCUUAUGGAAAUGUGAGAAUUCAUUAAUAAAUCCUUUACUUUUAACAGAAGUAUAUCGACUCAGCUGAGGAACUCAGAAAAGAUGGAAAAGGAAGGAAGGAUGAAAACAAACUCACUGCUAAAAUAAAGUCGGUGGGCAAAAUCCCUCUUCUACUCAGAUCAAAGGGAAAACAUACACAUUUUUUUAUUUCAUAUUAAAUAAAAAAACUCCACUUUAGUCCUUCAGGGCAGUUGUGAACCUGGAAGAAAACUGCACUUUCAUCUAUUACUAGGGCUUUGAUUUAUAUCAAAUAUGUAUGUUGCUCCAAAAAUAACACAUCCUAUUUAUGUCCACGAAAGCCACAACAAAGACCACAAUAGCACUAUUUGAUAGAGCAAAUUCCCAGCUACAAAAACUACUAUUUUUCAACACAGUCACCACCAUUAGCUAUGCAUUUUCACCAGCAAUAACAAGAGCCCGCGUGCUCCACUCAGGAAAAUCUGCACCAGCAGAGACCCACUGUUGCUGUCGCCAUUGCUGAAAUGCACCACUCACUGCCUCACUGUGCUCAAAUCCACUGUCCAUAAAUGUUCAGCAAGCAUCAAAGAAUGUCAGUGGGUGCUAUUUUUUCAGCAGGGAGCUAUCUGUUGACACAUCUUUGCUUCAUACACACUUCUAUGUCACAUGCUAUUUUGUCAGACUGCCCCUCUGCUGCCAUCUGUCACUCAGCACCAACAUAUAAGGGAACAUUGGUGAGAAGGUUCAAUCUCUGCUCCAUACCAGCAACAUCCACAUCUCACACUGUGGAUCAAUGUAAUGAAAUAGGAGGCAUUACUUUUGGAGCAACCCUCUUAGUUCCACUGAUUUCAAAGAAACUAACUUUUGAUUCAACUAUGAUUUGAAAGAUGUAUUCUAUUUCUUAAGAUAAAUUGACUUAAAAGCAAUUUUCCUGUGAUAAUUGCUCUAAAAUAAAUGGGUAUUAAUGAAAUUCCCAUUGGUGUCUUCGGUGAACAGAUUUUUCUAAGAUCCAACGGAAUAACAAGAAAUAGAAGGACUACAAGUCUAAUUUCCAAAACAGAAAAAAACAACUAUGAAUACAUUGCUUGUACGAUUUUGAUUCAUUUCCUCAGCAUCAUGUCCCCUCGACUAGGACUUCACUCAAUACCGAAUACUAUACCAAUUUAUUAAUUCCAUUCCAGUAAAAGUAAUGUAAUUGCUCCAUUGUGAUAAGCUGUGUGGAUAAAGAUGGGAACCGAGCUAAAACUAGUAACACGUAAAGGCUAUACAUUUAUCCUAAAGCAACAUUUAUGCAUGAAGUAAUGAUAUGCUAAUGACGGGUGCAUCUUAAGUCUCAAAUCAAAACAAGAUUUACACACUUACGCAUUGUAAGAGCAGUAAGAGAAACUGCUGCAGGGUGAGCACUCUGCCACCCACUGGCGUGGCAGUAACACCUGUGGGCAUCCAAAGAUUGGAGGGGUCUAGAAAUAAUUGGUACGCAAUUAACAAACUCCUUGCCUCUCAUCCUUACUGAAUAAAACUCAGUGAACCUCAGUUUGUAGCAUCAUUCACAGAUGAUUUUUGUCUAGAUAGUAGUUGUGACCACGUAAAGCUUCACAGUUUAAAACAACUAUUUCUGUUAUGAAACCAGCAUGAGUCAUUCUCAUCUUCCUCCUAUACUGCCUUAAUUGCAUGCUCUACAUAAAAGAUGAGUCAGUUUCAAAAACGAUAACUUAGUGGAUUUUAACACAGUAGAAUCCAGAGUAAUAGUGUUUUAAAGCACAGCUAAUGAAAACUACCAACAAAACCAAAGCAGAAAUGUGAUCACGUCACAUGAGGAGAGGAGCCUGAACUGGUAUGUGAUGCACACUGAACUUUGUGCAACUGCCUUUUAUCUUUAUUGUUAACUUAGAAGCAGUGCAACAGUUUGUGUCAGACUGUAGUCAGUAUGGCAUAGCAACAGUAAGGCUACAAGUAGAUACACAUGGGUUAGGUAACUUUAGCUAACAGAGCAUUUGACAUUACUUUAUCAGCUCAUAAGGUUGCAUUAUCUACUUUAGAAUGUGCCUGAAGAAGAAUAAUGGGUUAUAAUGAAUUUGGUUCACACGCUGAAUUGAUGUUUACUGAUUUUGUUUAAAUUAUUUUUUAAAACACUUGGGUGGAAAUCACUCCCUAGCUCUGGUACUGACAAGCAGAAAUUAGGUGCUUGUUCUUGACAAAAAUUACUCUCUGAUAAAAAGACAAGGCAAGAAAGAUAUAUUCCUGGUAGUGCAAAAUGAUGAAGAUCUCUGCUUACCAACACAGUCACCACUCGCAGAACCACUCCUCGCAUGUUAUUCUCCAGCUUCCUGUCUGUUAGGGACCCAUUCAGACCAGUGAUUGGAUUCCAGCAGCCGAGCUGAAAGAGAAAGCAGAGGUUGUUUCUGUGUUGCCCAUAAACUCAUUCCUCUUAGGCACCUUCAAGCAGGAACAUAGGAAAUACACAGAGUACCUUCUAGAAUCAAUGGGAUGUAAAGUCGGAUAAGGGUUUGCGCGUGGAUUUAUCUCUAAAUUCCCAGUGAAGCAAUUAGGGAUAUCAGUUUGUGCCUUUAAAUACUAGAGCAUAAUGGAUGACAGCAUCCAGUAUUUGGAGGAAUACAUAUUGCUUUUGAAGAGCUUGGGAAGGGCUUCUGUAUUAAUAGAAAAUAUUUGAAAUGUGGUAAGGCUGUAAAAAUACUUCCACCUGACUUCCACUGAUACACUAAUUGGAAAAAUAAUAGCAACCAUAACUUCAACAUGCUGUCUGCUCCAGCCCAUCGUUCCUAGUGGAACUCUAACAAAAGAAAUUAACUAGAUUUAAUUAAAACUUAUAUUACUCAUUGGUAAUGAAACAGCAGCACUUUUUAGCCAAGAUAAAAGAUUCCAUUUAGAGACAACUAAGAAAAAGACACAUAAGCACACUAGAGUGCUGAGAAAGGACCGCAACAGAGAGUGGAGAGGAAGGAAUGCAGCUAUGAGAUGUUUUGCCCCAGUGCUAUUUAUUUGUUGGGUUUCUAUGGACGGAAGCUUUUGCUUGGGGAUAUCUCUAACACUAACAUCCUUUUAAUCUGAAUUUAGUAGAUAAUGAACUGUAAUUUAUUCUGUCUGAACACAAGACUUUACUACAUUCUGGUAGUAUGAUUAAUAUAAUUAUAUAAUUUAUAAAUAAGGUAGAUGAUUAUUUUCAAAAAACAACAGAAGAAUAACUGACUUCAGCAGACGUUGGAGCCAGUUCUGCUUCCUCAGUACCUCCUCCACAGCAUUCCUAGCUAUUAACAGUAGUACUGAGGGAUUGCUGACAUUCCAUAUCCUCAUUCCUCCACUGCCAGAGGUGUCCAACAGUUUCAGAUUAAAGUCUUAACUGCAAUAGUGUGUUACCAGUAAUGGUGCACAGUGAAUGUACUAUAUGCAUAUACACCUUACACUGCAUGGAAUAAAUCACUGCCAUACAAGCAAAGCAA